UACUAACUCUUUCUUCGUGCUUAACACAUGCAAGUCGAACGGAAAGGCCCUGCUUUUGUGGGGUGCUCGAGAGGCGAACGGGUGAGUAACACGUGAGUAACCUGCCCUUGACUUUGGGAUAACUUCAGGAAACUGGGGCUAAUACCGGAUAGGAGCUCCUGCUGCAUGGUGGGGGUUGGAAAGUUUCGGCGGUUGGGGAAGGACUCGCGGCUUAUCAGCUUGUUGGUGGGGUAGUGGCCUACCAAGGCUUUGACGGGUAGCCGGCCUGAGAGGGUGACCGGCCACAUUGGGACUGAGAUACGGCCCAGACUCCUACGGGAGGCAGCAGUGGGGAAUAUUGCACAAUGGGCGGAAGCCUGAUGCAGCAACGCCGCGUGCGGGAUGACGGCCUUCGGGUUGUAAACCGCUUUCGCCUGUGACGAAGCGUGAGUGACGGUAAUGGGUAAAGAAGCACCGGCUAACUACGUG
rnacentral:rRNA from 1 species